rnacentral:rRNA from 1 species
UACGUAGGGGGGCAAGCGUUGUCCGGAAUUAUUGGGCGUAAAGAGCGCGUAGGCGGUCCGGUAAGUCAGCUGUGAAAGUCAAGGGCUCAACCCUUGAAAGCCGGCUGAUACUGCCGGACUAGAGUCCGGAAGAGGCGAGUGGAAUUCCCGGUGUAGCGGUGAAAUGCGCAGAGUAUCGGGAGGAACACCAAUGGCGAAGGCAGCUCG